UACGAAGGGGGCUAGCGUUGCUCGGAAUCACUGGGCGUAAAGCGCACGCAGGCGGCUUUUUAAGUCAGGGGUGAAAUCCUGGAGCUCAACUCCGGAACUGCCUUUGAUACUGGAGAGCUUGAGUCCGGGAGGGGUGAGUGGAACUGCGAGUGUAGAGGUGAAAUUCGUAGAUAUUCGCAAGAACACCAGUGGCGAAGGCGGCUCACUGGCCCGAUACUGACGCUGAGGCACGAAAGCGUGGGGAGCAAACAGG
rnacentral:rRNA from 1 species